rnacentral:rRNA from 1 species
GGCGAACGCUGGCGGUAGGCCUAACACAUGCAAGUCGAACGGCAGCACAGUAAGAGCUUGCUCUUACGGGUGGCGAGUGGCGGACGGGUGAGGAAUACAUCGGAAUCUACUUUUUCGUGGGGGAUAACGUAGGGAAACUUACGCUAAUACCGCAUACGACCUACGGGUGAAAGCAGGGGAUCUUCGGACCUUGCGCGAUUGAAUGAGCCGAUGUCGGAUUAGCUAGUUGGCGGGGUAAAGGCCCACCAAGGCGACGAUCCGUAGCUGGUCUGAGAGGAUGAUCAGCCACACUGGAACUGAGACACGGUCCAGACUCCUACGGGAGGCAGCAGUGGGGAAUAUUGGACAAUGGGCGCAAGCCUGAUCCAGCCAUACCGCGUGGGUGAAGAAGGCCUUCGGGUUGUAAAGCCCUUUUGUUGGGAAAGAAAAGCAGCAGGUUAAUACCCCGCUGUUCUGACGGUACCCAAAGAAUAAGCACCGGCUAACUUCGUG